rnacentral:rRNA from 1 species
CCUACGGGGGGCAGCAGUGGGGAAUAUUGGGCAAUGGGCGCAAGCCUGACCCAGCAACGCCGCGUGAAGGAAGAAGGCCCUCGGGUUGUAAACUUCUUUUAUCAAGGACGAAGAAAGUGACGGUACUUGAUGAAUAAGCCACGGCUAACUACGUGCCAGCAGCCGCGGUAAUACGUAGGUGGCAAGCGUUAUCCGGAUUUACUGGGUGUAAAGGGCGUGUAGGCGGGUUUGCCAGUCAGAUGUGAAAUUCCAGGGCUCAACCCUGGACCUGCAUUUGAAACUGUAGAUCUUGAGUGAUGGAGAGG